CAAAGAAUAGUUUAUAAAAUAUUAGUUUUGGAGACUAAAGAUGAGUAGAUUUCUCUUCUUUGA
rnacentral:tRNA from 2 species